rnacentral:pre_miRNA from 1 species
UUGUCACCUGGAGUUCUCCUCAAAUCACUUCAGUAGCUAGCUAGCUUGUGCCUCCUUGUUGCAUUGCCACUGUUUUAUAAGUGUGCUUGGGGCCAGAGAGCUGUGCACAGUGAAGUGUUUGGGGGAACUCUGGGUGGCAA